rnacentral:tRNA from 1 species
GCCCUGGUGGCGGAAUUGGCAUACGCGGCGGAUUUAGAUUCCGUUUUCUGAGAGUUCGAGUCUCUCCCAGGGUACCA